rnacentral:precursor_RNA from 1 species
CGCAAAAGUGCCCAGAGUAGAGAACCAGAGGCGCGAGCACCUUGGUCCCCCUGAAAGGACCCCCGAGCGGUCGGNNCUCUCUCCCCACCCCCCACACCGAUCGAUUUGGCAACCCGCGCC